UACGAAGGGUGCAAGCGUUGUUCGGAUUUAUUGGGCGUAAAGCGCGCGCAGGCGGAUUUUUAAGUCAGGUGUGAAAUCUCGAGGCUUAACCUCGAAACAGCGCCUGAAACUGGAAGUCUUGAAUGCUGGAGAGGGAAGGGGAAUUUCUCGUGUAGGGGUAAAAUCCGUAGAUAUGAGAAGGAACACCAGAGGCGAAGGCGCCUUCCUGGCCAGAUAUUGACGCUGAGGCGCGAAAGCGUGGGGAGCAAACAGGAUUAGAUACCCUGGUAGUCCACGCCGUAAACGAUGAGAACUAGUUGUGGUGGGAGUUAACCCCUGCUGUAACGUAGCAAACGCGUUAAGUUCUCCGCCUGGGAAGUACGGUCGCAAGACUA
rnacentral:rRNA from 1 species